AUCCUUUGGUGGCUCAUAAGCAUGAUGACUGGGUUGCCACAUGCACAUGUUGCGUGAUAUGUCACCCACAAACCUUGUUAUGACGCAGCACAUUACCCAUCUGACA
ensembl:snoRNA